rnacentral:rRNA from 1 species
UCGCGAAAACUUUGCAAUAAGCGAAAGCUUGACAGGGCUAUCCCGAGUGCCAUCCGCUGAGGAAGGCUUUUACCCAGUCUAGAACGCUGGGGGAAUAAGGAGAGGGCAAGUCUGGUGUCAGCCGCCGCGGUAAUACCAGCUCUCCGAGUGGUGUGGAUGUUUAUUGGGCCUAAAGCAUCCGUAGCUGGCUAAGUUAGUCCCUUGUUAAAUCCACCGAAUUAAUCGUUGGAUUGCGGGGGAUACUGCUUGGCUAGGGGACGAGAGAGGCAGACGGUAUUUCCGGGGUAGGGGUGAAAUCCUAUAAUCCCGGGAAGACCACCAGUGGCGAAGGCUGUCUGCUAGAACGCGCCCGACGGUGAGGGAUGAAAGCUGGGGGAGCGAACCGGAUUAGAUACCCGGGUAGUCCCAGCUGUAAACGAUGCAGGCUAGGUGUUUGGACGGCCACGUGCCGUUCUAGUGCCGCAGGGAAGCUGUUAAGCCUGCCGCCUGGGGAGUACGAUCGCAAGAUUGAAACUUAAAGGAAUUGGCGGGGG